AAUUACAGAAAGAAAAAUGAAGACGAAGUCACGAACUUACUAAGAGGGAGACCAGAAAAGUAGACGAAAGAAGAAAGAAGCCGUUUCACAUCUCUUCCCUCCAUUUUAUAUAUUUCUGCAAAUGUCAAAACCCUAGGCUUCUUUGUUCUUUUUAUUUUAUUUUUAUGUAUUUUUCAUCUUCUGUAAUUAGACUUAGCGUCGAUGAUAUUGUUGCCAUAUGCCAUUAGAUACUUAUCAACUCUCCGUCUUUUCAAGUUUCCAAGAAAAUAUAGCGAUCCGAUGAUUCUUUGACUUGCGUAUAUUUUCUUUGAAAGAUUGAUCCUUUUUCUUUGUUGUCAAUUUUUUAUUUUUGUCACCUCGAGAUAAUCUACCAUUGGAGCAACCGUGACAAAAAAGAUUGGAUUUUGAGAUUUAACAGUGGGAGGGAUAGAGAGUGAAAAAUGGAGGGAAUGGGGACGAGUUCGAAGAUGGAAGGAUCUUCGGCCCCAGCGAGUCGGCGAGACCCCUAUGACGUGCUGUGCGUUUCGAGAGACUCCACCGAUCAGGAAAUCAAAACUGCGUAUCGAAAACUCGCUCUCAAGUAUCAUCCUGACAAGAAUGCCGCCAAUCCUGAGGCUUCUGAACUUUUCAAGGAGGUUGCAUAUUCGUAUAGCAUCUUAUCUGACCCAGAGAAGAAAAGGCAAUAUGACAGUUCAGGGUUUGAGGCGCUUGAUGCUGAUGGCAUGGACAUGGAAAUUGACUUGUCUAAUCUUGGUACUGUCAACACUAUGUUUGCAGCUUUAUUCAGCAAGCUGGGUGUCCCUAUUAAGACUACGAUUUCUGCUAAUGUUCUCGAAGAAGCUUUGAAUGGCACUGUUACAGUCAGACCCCUUCCAAUUGGAACAGCAGUUAGUGGAAAGGUAGACAAGCAAUGUGCCCACUUCUUUGGUGUAACAAUCAAUGAGCAACAAGUGGAGGCUGGGAUUGUAGUGAGAGUUACUUCAACUUCACAGAGCAAAUUCAAGUUACUCUAUUUUGAACAAGAUGCAAGUGCUGGUUAUGGUUUGGCAUUACAGGAAGAUAGCGAGAAGAAUGGUAAGGUGACAUCUGCAGGGAUGUACUUCUUACAUUUUCAAGUGUACAGAAUGGAUUCAACUGUGAAUGCGCUAGCAAUGGCUAAGGACCCUGAAGCCGCUUUCUUUAAAAGGUUGGAAGGUCUUCAACCCUGUGAGGUCUCAGAACUAAAAGCUGGAACUCAUAUAUUCGCCGUUUAUGGAGAUAAUUUUUUCAAGACUGCUACAUAUACAAUUGAGGCUCUUUGUGCAAAGUCAUAUGAGGACACAACAGAGAAGCUCAAGGAGAUUGAGGCUCAGAUUUUAAGAAAGAGGACUGAGCUACGUCAAUUUGAGACAGAAUACAGAAAGGCAUUGGCACGCUUUCAAGAAGUGACCAAUAGAUACAACCAGGAAAAGCAGUCUGUACUGUGACAUAUGUGACAUACACGUGCAAAUUUUAGUAUGAUAGAAGCUAAUGAGACUAUCUUUAUUCUUUGUGGGGGUCAAUUAGGGAGGUUAUGGUGGAUGAGCUACUGAAACAGCGGGACAAUAUUCAUUUGUCAUUCUCUGUUGCCAAUAGUAGCUUGAGUAGCAGUAUUAGUUUUAGUAAUGGCAGUAGUAGCAAAUUUGUUGGUGAAGAUUCAAAGCCAGAGAGUCCUGGGGAAGAUGGAAGCUCAGAUGGCAAGGAUAAAUCAUCAAAAAAGAAAUGGUUCAAAAGGAUCUGAUAAAAAGCUUGGUUGAGAUGGUGUUUGGCCUAUUCAGUUUUAUUGGAUUGUUUGAAAAUUCCAUCCUUGCAUUUAGAUGUUUGGGCAUCUAGGCUUUGCUGCUUCAAAAGGCUUGCAUUGAAUUCCAUGUUCAAUUUCUCUCUCUAAACCUUCACCAAGGUUUUCCAUUACGGGUUUUACAAUUUGGUUGUAAAAACAUUUGAAGAAGUAUGUGUAUUAAUAUCUUUUGUAUCCAUGAUGCCAUCGAGGGAGUUACUUGUCCUCCAAUUUCAUCUAGCAUCCUGAAGGACCUGAGCAUAUAAGUCUGAAACUGAGAUAGUAUAUUCAUUCAUUUUGUUUAUGUUGUAAAAAUGACAUUUUCACU